UACGGAGGGUGCAAGCGUUAUCCGGAUUCACUGGGUUUAAAGGGUGCGUAGGAGGGCAGGUAAGUCAGUGGUGAAAUCUCCGAGCUUAACUUGGAAACUGCCGUUGAUACUAUCUGUCUUGAAUAUUGUGGAGGUGAGCGGAAUAUGUCAUGUAGCGGUGAAAUGCUUAGAUAUGACAUAGAACACCAAUUGCGAAGGCAGCUCGCUACACAAAUAUUGACGCUGAGGAGCGAAAGCGUGGGGAGCGAACAGG
rnacentral:rRNA from 1 species